rnacentral:rRNA from 1 species
AUGCACAGCUACCAUGCAGUCGACGAUGAACCCGCUUCGGUGGGGGAUUAGUGGCGAACGGGUGAGUAACACGUGGGCAAUCUGCCCUGUACUUUGGGAUAAGCCUGGGAAACUGGGUCUAAUACCGGAUAUGACUUCUCCUCGCAUGGUGAGGGGUGGAAAGCUCCGGCGGUACGGGAUGAGCCCGCGGCCUAUCAUCUUGUUGGUGGGGUAAUGGCCUACCAAGGCGACCACGGGUAGCCGGCCUGAGAGGGUGACCGGCCACACUGGGACUGAGACACGGCCCACACUCCUACGGGAGGCAGCAGUGGGGAAUAUUGCACAGUGGGCGCAAGCCUGAUGCAGCGACCCCGCGUGAGGGAUGACGGCCUUCGGGUUGUAAACCUCUUUCGCCAGGGACGAAGCGCAAGUGACGGUACCUGGAUAAGAAGCACCGGCUAACUACGUGCCAGCAGCCGCGGUAAUACGUAGGGUGCGAGCGUUGUCCGGAAUUAUUGGGCGUAAAGAGCUCGUAGGCGGUUUGUCGCGUCGUUCGUGAAAACUCCACGCUUAACGUGGAGCGUGCGGGCGAUACGGGCAGACUUGAGUUCGGUAGGGGAGACUGGAAUUCCUGGUGUAGCGGUGAAAUGCGCAGAUAUCAGGAGGAACACCGGUGGCGAAGGCGGGUCUCUGGGCCGAUACUGACGCUGAGGAGCGAAAGCGUGGGGAGCGAACAGGAUUAGAUACCCUGGUAGUCCACGCUGUAAACGUUG